rnacentral:lncRNA from 1 species
GAGUGUUUCUGGGAAUCGGCGUCAUGACGGUCCUCUCCCUCUGCAUCAUCCUGGCCAUGUGAGUGGGAGCAGGAGCGCCGGGGCCUGGGGCUGGGGAAGGGCAGGGGUAACAGCGGGGUCAGGCCAGGGUCGCUUCCCGCAGCGUGAAGACUCUGAGGAAGGCGCCGCCCCAGGCAGGCGCGAGGCCCAAGGUGUCCCGCGGCAGCACCAUCCUGGAGUACAUCAACGUGGUCCCCAAGGCCGGGCGCCGGGCUCAGGAUCGGAAGGCUACACCAAGCAGCCCUUCUCGGACCCCCUCUCCAGGCACUCACUCCCCAGAACCAAAGAAGAAUCCAGAGGAGCUGUAUUCUAUUCCCCUCCAUUGCCCAAAGCCCAGAUCGUCCACCCAAGCCCUGGACCCCAAGAAUGACCCAGAGGAGCUCCACUAUGCUACUCUCACCUUCCCGGGCCACAGACCGUGGGCCAUCCAGAUGCCCAAAGACACCCACACAGAUUACCAGGAAAUCAAGUUCCACUGAGGGCUGUUGGGCUUUAGGGUUAGGACCUCAACUGGGGAGAAAGGCAGGCAAUAAAGAGGCUCAAGGAACAGGGUCCUAAGUCUCUUAUUUCAAGAAAAUCCUCCCAGAUAGGUGGCCCCAUCCCAGGCCCAGGCUGUUGGAAACAGCUUAACGAAUCUGUCCCCACUGGCCUUCUCUGAAUACGGUGUUUAGAGAAGCCAACUGGACGAUUCUCAUAUACAUGCAGGACCAUCCUGGCUGAGCGCUGCCAUCUCACAGACUCUGACCGGUAGG